rnacentral:sRNA from 1 species
UCUAAUAGUCGAGGAACUCGACAAUCAUUCUGUUUCGUUUUAAAAGUUAUUCAAUUUUUAGCCGGGUAGCAUAUUUUACAAUUUGAAGUGUUAAUCUUUACCUAAAUUAAAGCAUGCGCUUUGAGCACCGUCAAGUCCUAGAACUCAAUUUGAACUACAACAAGACCAGCUAAAAACUUUUAAUUUCUUUUUCGAACUAAAAGUCGAGCAGGUUUAUACUAAGAUACCAGCCAUCUAGCUUUCAAGCGGUUUGAGGCAGCCAUAAAGGCAGCCGGAUGAUAAGGCAACUGCCAUUUUCCAACCCCGGUCUUCACGCCAUGUACACGCACUCCCGAAUGGUAAUUCCGAAUAUCGUCUUAGUACUAUCUUUGCCAUCUUUUUGGGAAACUGGCUUUUCAUAAAGCAUGGAAAGGUCGCGUGCUGAUUGACGUUUGGAUGUCAGUGGAAAAAACCUGCUUCACGAAAAGCGAAUAGGCGACUAACACUACCGGAAUUUCAAAAUCUUUUAGAUUACAUUUUAAUUUCAUCUUUACGUUGCCCAUCUUCCACCUCCAUCAACGGUUAGUGGCCACCAUUUAGUUUUCCCGGAGUUUUUGCUGUUCCAGAUACGCGCCAGGAAACUUUUGCUUGCAGAAAAAUAAUUUGGGUCUGAAAGUCGGCGCCUCGCUCUGGUUACCAUCGACACAAAUUUAGCGAGUGAGCUUUGACAGCCCCCAAAAGUUGGGCAUUGCUUGACAAUGUUUGCCGGAGCAGAGCCCGGAAUUUUUAAUGCAAGAGCAAACUUCUGCGCUUGUGAUAAUGUUGCAAUUUGCAAAUAGUAUAUAAAUCUGGCUAAUAGUUGCUGGGCCAGAUUUAAUGACAUAGAAAUUAACUGUUAACUAUUUCCCAAUCGCUCGUUAGUUUACUCAUCAUUAUGCUAACAACGUCCUUGUGCCUGAAGAACCAUCCGACUAAUGCACUUGAACACGUCUUUUGGAUCCCCUUUGCCUGGAGUGUCAGCUGUCAGCUAAAAACGAACUGCGCGUUAUUUGCAUAAUCAUUAAAUGGUGAACGCCGCAACAAGCUUUAUUACGAUUGGAACACAAUAAGAAGUGGCCUAUAAUCAUAAAGAAAGCAAGUUAUUCACUGCCUCGGGUUCCGGGCCAGGAUGUGUAUCGUUGGCCAGGGCUAGCAACAAAAGAGUGCACCAAGUUGGGACAGGCCGAGAUGUCGGAAAUUAAGUGCGUGCUCUGUCCCGCGCUGAGGAAAAGUUAAGACGGAAGAUUUGAAGCCGCGGUCUUCCAAGAAUGCUCCUUGCUCGCAGUCAAUCGAUGUUGGAUGUCGUAACCGAAUAAUGCUUUAAACUGCCCAGUGGCAGGUUUUUUCGUUAUCCCAGGCCGCGCGGGUAGCGGUAAUGUGAAAGCACGCCCCUUACUUAAAUGGAUUCGAGCCAAUACCAAAUAUUUCGGGAUGUGGGCCAACUUUGCAAGUUUGAAGUCAAUUUAGCGGAAUGUUGCCGGGACGAAAUAUGUGGGCUCCAGUGCUUACACCCCAAUUGACUUUUAAUGGCUCUAUGGUGAUGCGAUGCGGCUGAAACAACAAACACAAGUUCGACUGCUUUUCGGAAAGCUAAAAGGGUUGAAAAAUAUUGAAGUAUGUAUGUAGCUUUUGGGUGAUAUAAAAAAGAAAGCCUCUUACUCAACCACCUCCUUUGUUUUUGGGAUUUCUCGGCAUUGCUUCCAUUAUUUUUGCCCAAAAGUUGCUUGGGAUGCCUGAAAUAAGCUUGGAAGUCUUUUUCAAGUAAAUCCCAUUAAUGCCGAACACGAAAACGUCUUGACUAAUUACUUUUCAUUUGAUUUUCGAUGACGCGCACGACAGGUGACGAGGGCACUGUUUUGUAAAUACGUUCUCUCACGUUUGCUCACACGGAGACGAAAACGUUUUAUGGCAGUUCCAUUAU